rnacentral:rRNA from 1 species
GAUGAACGCUGGCGGCGUGCCUAAUACAUGCAAGUCGAGCGAACGGACGAGAAGCUUGCUUCUCUGAUGUUAGCGGCGGACGGGUGAGUAACACGUGGAUAACCUACCUAUAAGACUGGGAUAACUUCGGGAAACCGGAGCUAAUACCGGCUAAUAUUUUGAACCGCAUGGUUCAAAGGUGAAAGACGGUCUUGCUGUCACUUAUAGAUGGAUCCGCGCUGCAUUAGCUAGUUGGUAAGGUAACGGCUUACCAAGGCAACGAUGCAUAGCCGACCUGAGAGGGUGAUCGGCCACACUGGAACUGAGACACGGUCCAGACUCCUACGGGAGGCAGCAGUAGGGAAUCUUCCGCAAUGGGCGAAAGCCUGACGGAGCAACGCCGCGUGAGUGAUGAAGGUCUUCGGAUCGUAAAACUCUGUUAUUAGGGAAGAACAUAUGUGUAAGUAACUGUGCACAUCUUGACGGUACCUAAUCAGAAAGCCACGGCUAACUACGUG